rnacentral:lncRNA from 1 species
UUCGGGUUGUAUUAUUUUUUAUGUGAAAUAUUGCAGCAGCUAAUUGCAAUUACCAGAAAGCAUAUACAAGAGAGCUUGUUGAUUGCCAGUAGACAAAGACACUUUGGAAAUCUUGGAUUUUGCUAUAGAUGACAGCCUAUAAAUUUUAAAAUAGAAACCACGUUAUCGUUUACAAUUUCCGUUUGCUAACAAAUUCUGCUAAACAAAAUUGGUGCCUGAUUAAGUAAACAUUUAUACAUAAAUAAAACAGUGAAGAUCUCUUCAGUUAUUGAGAUGCAGCCAGUUCAGUCUCUCGUAAAUAAUACAGUGAUGAAUUCUGGCGUUACAGUGCAUGAUAAAGCUACCUAGGCUCAAAGUCUUAGGCAAACUAAUCCAUACGCAUGAAUCAAUCAGUUCGUUUUAGUCAUACUGGUGUUAUAUAAAUGUCACUAAAAUCAAUGCCUGAAAGACGUAACAGAUUAAUAAGUCUUAUGCAGUACAUCUAACUGGGAUGCAAACCUACAGCACAUAACUUCAUGCUGAACACAGCUAUACAAGUAGUUUGAAUAAGUCAUUUUAAUAGAAAACUCAAGGGCAGGCCUGUAAUGAGCAGACGUGGAUGAGAAAAAUCUGAUGCGUUAUUAAUUUCAGACAAUGCCGAUUUCUUUUUCAUAAUGUACAUUUUAUUAAUGCUCUCCGUGAUAGCUUUUCAUACCGGUUCAUCACCAGGAGUACAGUAAUUACAUUGUAUUAAGAUUUGUUCCAUGCCUGAGAAGUAAGGAAGUCCAGUGAAGAUAUGGAAAGCAGGUGAAACGUCAAUUACUAUUGACUCAGGGCUGGAUUAAAUCUAGGAACCGAUGGGGAACACAGCAACCGGGUGGGUUUUUUAACCCGGCACCUGCCAGACCCACUCUUCCGUGACUAUCUGCCUCCCCCUCCUUACUGGUAGACCUCUGCAUGUAACCUGUGUGCUAUAGAUACUGAGGCAGUGGACAGGAUUCAUCAUUUUUAUUACGACUUGGGGUCAGUCUGUCUCAUCUUUACAGCCAUCACCAUUAGUUACCGGGUGUCAGCCUCUCUGGCACUGAGGAGAGAGAGAGACAUUGAAGGUUGUCGUAAAUGCCUCCAAGAAUAAUUAUUCUAGUCAUAAUGGCAAGGGUUUAAGGUGUGGGAUGAUGGGAUUGUCCAGGAAGAGAAACUAAUAGUGACCCUCUAAUGAAAAAUAAACAAACAACACAACCCAGGGGAUUUCUGCUUUUCUGUGAUCUAAUGAAAACCAGGGAAUUUCUGCUUCCUGCAAUUGCAGCCUCCCUUUUCGUCCCAUGCAGCUCCCCAGACCUCCCCAUGGUCCAGCAUCCUCAGGCUCAGGACUUGACUUAGCUCUGCUCUUUGGGGCUCUAGAAACCAUAAGGUUGGUCCCCUUGAGACUGUGAAAGAUUGUGAGUUUUCAAACUUUUUGGAGGUAUUUAUUUUGCUUAAUAUACUGUCUGAUUUUAGGAACAUUUCUGGCACAAAGAUGGGGAAGGUUGUUCAUAUUUUUCAUUAUUUUUCUCCCUGGAAAAAAAGGCUGGCAGCCUGUACUGGGCAGAAAUCUAACUCUCCCCAAGAGGAUGGCCACCUUGCCUGGGGACACCAUACAAGCCUGAAGAAAUGGGCAAAGGAAGAGGUAUCCACAUGUGGCAGAUGAAAGCACCGUGUCUCCUGAGCACCAGUUUGAUAAAUAAAUAAAUGCUUUGCUAAAUAAAUGGAUCGCUUGGCAAUGGCAAUUGUUAGGUGUUAAUGGUAGCAGCAGCCCCACAAAGCUGGAUGACAGAGGAGAUAUUCAAGUACACAAGAGGAAAAGACCAUCCCUGCACCUCACCUCGAACCACUGCAAGUGAAUUACCACUCGAUGCGCAAACCCCUCGGUGCUUUGAGGCAGCUUUCAAUUUCUGUUAAUCGCCCACUGGCCUUUCCUUGCAAAGGUACAGGGCACAGUAUUAUAUUAGGUAUGUGCAAUAGUUGGUUUGUGCUAUUUAGCUUUUUAAUGGGGAGGGGACACUUCCAUUUUAGCCCUGCUUCCUUGCAAAAUGCCAGGCUGAAGAGAGACUUUUAUGUCUAGAGAAAAUUAUUAUGGGUUAUUUUCAAAAAUAUCCUUUUUUUUCCUAAGUGUUUUUUUCUACUUUUUUUUCCACACACACCCCCUAAUUUCCCUCUGCUGCAUGAAUCCACAUGGUCAGACUCAAGAGUAAAUAAGGCAUAAGUAAGCUUUGAGUUGUGAAGGAUGAAGGAGAAACCCCAGAGCUCCUCCCCUGCUUUCACUAGGUACCAGGCUGCAGCUACCUGCAUCCUGCAAACACUCGUGCCUGAGCAUGCCCCUGCUCUGCUGGGAGCAUUUGCAGAUGCCCACUGUUGUGUCAUGGCGUGGGACAGUGGAUGAUGACUCAAUGUGGAGCAGAGAUUUAUCAGCUUUUGCUCAUCUAACACUGCCUUCCCAGCCUGGCCUGCCUUGCUCCCCAGAGAGAUGCAGACACUACUCUGCACUCACGCUAAUAAAGCUGGACCUGGCAGUGUUAUUUAUGACUUCUCAAAUGUGUCUAGGCAUAUAAAACAUACACAUCCAUACCCUCUCUUCUUCUCUCAUGGGCACAGGUACACAGACACAGGCACCUGUGCUGGCUGGCAGCCACCCAAGCAGGGCAUGAUCUUGCACACGCAUUUGCACAUAUGCAAGGAGAACUGCAUAUACAGGCUGACGUGACAGAUUUAUCCAGCCGAACAGUUGGCCCAACGCCAUUAACAAGUCUUCAGAGUUUCUUCUUCUUUCUUUUUCUUUCCUUUUUUUUUUUUUUUUUAGUUAAUGCUAAAAUCCUGAGGGGACCCACACCGAUGGGGUUUGCAUCCCUCUGGUGAUUUCUGCCCAUCCCACUUCCCCCACACCUGCACCAAGUGGCUCAUGUCCACUGUGGGCUGCAGCUGAGUAUUUACACCAGUGGAGAUCAUGGGCCCAGCAAGUCUACCCUGUUUACAGGAACGAAGGAGAAACAUCUGCUGAGUCCUCUGUUGGAUGUGUCUGUCGUCUUUCAGGUGCUUCCUGCACCAGCCGUGGAGGCACAGCUUAGCUCCAAGACACCAUGACAGCCUCCACUAUGCAGAUGCUAUGGUUUCCCAUAUAUCCAUCCCAGCUGAGCUGAUUGAUUGAGAAACGCUAUCUUCAAGAUACUAAGGCUCAUUUUUUCAAAAAAAUAUCUCUAUUUACACAAGACAAUAAAAUCUGAACAGCUUGCCCCCCAGAAGCUUUUGCCAAGAAGAGCCACUGCUGGACGUGUGUGCCAGUCCCUACUUAAAAGCGACAGCUUCGCUCGACAGUGCUCUGCCGGCAAGUUCAGCUUCUUCUGCUGUAAGGACUACUUUUUUGUCCCUUUUCCUUCCCUCAUUACCUCUCCACACAGACAGGUUUGUAUUUACAACAGGGACCUGGAUCCGUCAGGGUUGCCUUUAUACAGCCCAGAUUGUGAACACGGAGAGGGGCUCAGGAUGGGGGGUUGAGCAUGCUCAGCCAUAUUUAAAUGUUUUCAAGUUGCAAAGCCGAUGUUUGGAGUAGAUGAAACCAAUUUCUUAUUACAAAAGACAUUUUUUGCCUGUUCUGCUCAUCUUAACAAAAAAGCGAGUGACCAAGCAGUGAGGGCACUUCCCAGGGUGCU